rnacentral:miRNA from 1 species
CAAAAGAACCAAUCUUAAAAGUGCCACUUUUAAGAUCAAUUCUUUUGUAACCGAUCUUAAAAGUACUACUUUUAAAAUCGGUUCUUUCG